rnacentral:miRNA from 1 species
UAUGGAUAUAUGUGUGUGUGUGUGUGUGUGUGUGUGUGUGUGUAUAUAUAUAUAUAUAUAUAUAUAUACACACACACAUAUUCACAUACACACAUGCAUAUA